CCUUAGUUGUGAAUGAGAUAAUCCAUUGUGUGCUGCUGAGAUUCCAGAGAUGUUGAGGGCCGUUGUACGCUGCUGAUCGAAGCAGCUCUGCAAUGGAUGAUCUCUGCUCCAACACGGAGUAGAGCGCUAAUUAAAGCACUUAGUCCGCAGUGUCUGAUCUUGAUAUGCUCACGACAAGCUUUAAGCGGAACUUGAGCUCUAUAUUCAUUUUUUGUCCCGGCUUUGUGGCUUCAUCAAACUUAGGCGAGGUUUGUUUUCGUCAACCGAAUAUUACUUGUGUAGAAUCCAAGUUUGUUUGUCCACACACGCUGCUUUGCCUCUAUAUUAGGCCAAGUCAUUUGACUCGACUUUGCCUCUAUUCGGGGCCAAGGUCUCUUGAUACGAUGUUGCAUCUCAUCGUCUCAUUUUGAUUCUCAAUUAACAUGACCCAUAUGUCUUGACGUCAUUCCAAGUCACGGGGUGUCGUCGGCCAUCGCAGCUCACUCGAUCAUUCCAUCUAGAAUGAGCUCACUUGUCAUUCAUAACAUUGGGACAUCUCGAACAUGCAAGAGAGAAAAAAAAUAGAGGUAGAUAAUAACUUCAACUUUCAUAUUAGUCUAAACCUUACGCAUUUCAAUUUAACCUCCACAUUUGUAAGGAACUGAGUUUAACCCACCGUAGAGAACUGGUCAUAUAUGAGCUAUCUCAAUUA